AAAAGUAAUAUCAAUUUACGUUUGGGGGGCUUCAUGUUGUUAUUUUUCUCUAAUUGUAGAAAUACUAGUAAUUUGAUGAUCGUGUUUGGUACAGGGUGAUUUCGAAGCGAAAAGUGGUGAAAGACAACGACAAUGAAAUAAAGUAACUCAGUUGGUAAAAAGUGCUCCUAUGUAGAAGCGUUGAAGGUCCCGACAACAAUUCAUGUCUACAUUAUCGAAAAAGUGUAAACUGUGAGUAAAUGGAAUAUUUCCCGAACGUGUAAUUCCCUGUCUCUUGGAAUUUAAGCCUUGAAUGCAGUAGGUAAUUGUUUUUAGACAAUGAAUUUUUUGCAAUGUAUUUUGGCGAUCCUUAAAUAAAAACCUGCAAUGUUU